rnacentral:rRNA from 1 species
UUCCGGUUGAUCCUGCCGGACCUGACUGCUAUCGGAUUGAUAUUAAGCCAUGUUAGUCUUUGUAGUAAUACAAGGCAGACGGCUCAGUAACACGUAGUCAACCUAACCUAUGGACGAGGAUAACUUCGGGAAACUGAGGAUAAUACUCGAUAGGUCAUUAUGCCUGGAAUGGUUUAUGACCGAAAUGAAUUUCGCCGUAGGAUGGGACUGCGGGCUAUCAGCUUGUUGGUGAGGUAAUGGCCCACCAAGGCGAUUACAGCUACGGGCUCUGAGAGGAGUAGCCCGGAGAUGGGUACUGAGACAAGGACCCAGGCCCUAUGGGGCGCAGCAGGCGAGAAAACUUUGCAAUGAGCGAAAGCUCGACAAGGUUAAUCCGAGUGGUUUCUGCUAAAGGAACCUUUUGCUAGUCGUAAAACCACUAACGAAUAAGGGGUGGGCAAGUUCUGGUGUCAGCCGCCGCGGUAAAACCAGCACCUCAAGUGGUCAGGAUGAUUAUUGGGCCUAAAGCAUCCGUAGCCUGUUUUGUAAGUCUCCGGUUAAAUCCAUCAACUCAAGUGAUGGGCCGCCGGAGAUACUGCAAAACUAGGGAAUGGGAGAGGUAGACGGUACUCGGUAGGAAGGGGUAAAAUCCUUUGAUCUAUUGAUGACCACCUGUGGCGA